CCAUGUCAUCAUACCACCCUGAAAGUGCUUAUCUCUUCUGAUCUCCGAAGCUAAUCAGGGUUGGGCCUAGUUAGUACUAGGAUGGGGAAGGCAUAGAAUCCUAUGAAUUCUCACUCA
rfam:Canis lupus familiaris chromosome X, whole genome shotgun sequence.